AUACUACUCCCUCCGUUCUGAAUUACUUGUCUUGGAUUUGUCUAGAUACGGAUGUAUCUAGACUCAUUUUAGUGCUAGAUACUUCUGUAUCUAGACAAAUCCAAGACAAGUAAUUCAGAACGGAGGGAGUAGUUA
rnacentral:pre_miRNA from 1 species